rnacentral:lncRNA from 1 species
AUGUCUGCUCUGCAUUUCAGAUCAUUUCCAGAGAAGAUGAUGACAUUGGAAGGAGACAAUUACCCGCCUCUAGUCCUGACCCUUCACUCAAGCCCCAGGGCUGCCUCAAACAAUCCAUGGCCAUGGCACCUUCAGCCUCUCAUUUGCAUCACUGUCAGAGCUGUCCAGGUUACGUUUAAGUACCGCAGAGAAGUGCUAAAUGGAAUCUUCAGAUUAUUAUGAAGAAACCGCAAUGAAGGCGUUUUAUCCCAACUGCAAGUUCCAGAUGCUCACAAUUACUCAACAUUCACUGAGCAUCUUUUAUGUUAUAUGGCUGACCUUGUGCUAAGGUGGGUACACA